rnacentral:lncRNA from 1 species
AAGAAGGGAUUACUAAGGAGUCGCUGCACAGUGUAAAGAAGCACAAGGUCAAGGAGACCAACAAUCCCUGCGAGGAUCUUCACCGAGAGAGAGGACUUGUUUUGAGGUUUGAGGAAGUGGCUGUUUGGCAAAUCUAAAAGUUGGACUUCCCAAUACCAGUUUUCUAUAAGCACCUUGGUUUGACUUUCAUUUUUGGUCCCCUCUCCCUGAGAUUGAAGGCAAAAUCAGAACAGGAAAUAAUACUUCCCUUUUACCUCAGACUCUUGUCCCCUUCUCUUUUAUAGUAUGGCAAUUUUUUGUAGUCCUGGCUACUGAUGCAUAAAUGCAAUAUUGCUACAAUUGUCCUGUUUGCUUAUAGGACAUAAGUCACUUUAAUUGGGCUUUGCUGGUGAUUCAAGGACCUGUUAUGGUCUUAUUUUUAAUCAUAAUUUAAUACACACAGGAUUUUGGUAUAUAUAUGUAUUUUUGUCAAGAAUUUAAUUUUUUUUCUGUUCUAUUUGGUUUUUGGUUCUUUUGAGAAUUCAUUCAUAUACCUCAUAGCUCAGCCUUGUAUAUUGUGAUGAUUCUAGUGUUUGUCAACACUCUUCUAAGGGGGGAUGGUAUAAUUAUCCUAAAAUCCAAGGGUUAAGAUCUUUUAAAGCAAUUCUAGGAAGAGAAAAUUGCCAAUAUCCUAAAUCAAGAAAGUGGAUCUUCUGAAGAACAUACCAUAAGGAUGCCUAUAGGAAUCACACACUACACCAAAAUGAUCCAGAAUGAACUUUGGGUUAUAAGGAACUGAACUGAAGGGAGUUGAACCUAUCAUUUAUUCUGAAUGUAAACUCUUAUGCCAAAGGUGAGUGCCCCCCAAUUGACUUUUUUUUAUUCCUUUGGCUUCCUCUUCUUCCUCAUUUUCAUCUCCCUUUGUAGAUAAUUCCUCCAAUUCCUCCUCCUUGUAAUUUUUCUUUCUUUUCUUUUCAUGAGGAGUUUGUUUCCUCCUGAUCUCAGGAUUGAUAACAUCAAAGAACUCCUCAAUCAGAGCCAGCAGCUUUUCUUGGUUAAGCUUAACUUCUUCCUCUUCUUCCUUGCCCUCAAGUUUUUUGUUGUUUUUUUUUCUUUUAGGUGCAUCUCUCUGUGCUUGGUUUCCAGGAUCUUCUCUCAAUUGAGUUUCCCAUUCAAAGAACUAGGAUGCUCAAAAACAGGAGUAAUUGAAGUGAGGGAAGGAGAGGGAGGUGUGUGGCUUUAUGAUAAGGAUUCCAAUUUCCUAACAAAAGCCUGAAGGAAAAGGACUGGCCCUAUAGUAAGAAAGAGAAGUUGCUGGUGGAGAAUGAAAGGAUAGAACUCAUAUUCAGCAAGUACUGAAAUAUUAACUGUAAGAGAGAGGAAUAUGCAAAAAGGAGAAAUGGCAAAAGAAAGAAAUUAGAUCCAGUGAAGCAAGAAGCAGCCCACAUGGGGGGAGGGGCUUUAAGGAAGAGACCCAGAAUUCCAAAGGAACAGAGAACUCAAAAUUGCCACUUCAGCUCUGACUCCUUCAACCGAGAGGCUUACUCAAGGAUCUCUGAGACUGGACAUCAAUGGCUUCCUAGUGAACCCCUGAAUGUUGCUCAACUCAACUAUUAUAGAUUGGACUUUAAAGAAGCCAUCUAUUGAGAGAAGCCUCUCCAAGGAUUUUCUCCACCUCUCUCUCCCCCUAGCUUGUUCUGAACUCCCGCAAUUUGACCAGAAUAGCUGAGGAGAAAGGACAAUCAGUAGCUGACCAGAAAGGGGGUCGAGGCUGAGAGGCUGGAACCCUGUGGGUCGAGGAUGAGAGCCUGGACCCCUUUAGUCUGCCAGCUUUUAGGGAUUCCUGCUACCCACUUUCCUUACCCAAACUUCCAUUUUCCCUUCCUUGAGUGAUUCUCUAUUAAAGUGUCAUUAUUUAGAUCAGGUCUGGCUACUUUCUGACACCAAAGAAGGGGACUGAAAAGAUUUGGGGAGAAUCACACCUCUCCCCAAAGAGGAGAGUUAGCUUUCAGGACUAAGAACCAUCUUCUCCUCUGAGGUAGGGAGUGCCAUCAAGUCUUAAGGGAAAGAAGUGGCAGUUGGGAUUACUGGAAGGAUCCAGGGGGCAGGAGAGUUUAUCCUGCCUCUCAACAAGAGAUCAAGAUCUGAGAUCAAGAAGAGGACUAGUCAUUUCACCAAAUCUCUCUCCUCUAGUCCUUAACCUCCUCCUCUUAUAUCACUCUCUGAGGAGACAUACUCUGUCCCUCAAGGAGACUAACCUAGAUUGUCUUUAUCAAGGGGGAAGAGAGGAGACCAAUCCCUUUCUUCUCUCCAUUCUCCCAACUCUUUCUCUCCCUCUCUCUCUAGUUCCCCAGUGUGUGUGUGUGUGUGUGUGUGUGUGUGUGUAUGUGACUCUCUCAUACCUUCUACAUUGACUAGAUCCUUUGUAAAGUAUUAUCAAAAGGCACAGGCAAGAUUUGCAAAGGAUAACAUCGCUUUAUAGGCUUGCAUUCUACCCAAGAGGACACUAUAUGGAGGAGAUUGCAAAUGCAAAUACAUUUCUAAGGAUCAUUUUUCUCCAAAUGUGCAAACACUCUGUUAACAUAAUAGGCAUUUCCAUAGAAUAAGAGAUUGGAUUUUCACUUCCUAACUUGUCUUUGUAAACUUCUCUUGCUUUCAAAUACUGCCACUUCUGCAAAUAACCUCCUACCAUUCCAGAAGAUAAUUAUUGAAGCCUUUAGUGGAUUUAGAGCAUUUCUAUGCUCAAGAGAGGUUUGGCUUGAAAAGAAAGUGAAAUGUUAAAAUAAAUGAAUAAAUUUUAA